AGCGAACGCUGGCGGCAGGCCUAACACAUGCAAGUCGAGCGGCCGUAGCAAUACGGCAGCGGCAGACGGGAGAGUAACACGUGGGAACGCGCCCUUCGGUUCGGAAUAACUCAGGGAAACUUGAGCUAAUACCGGAUACGCCCUUACGGGGAAAGAUUUAUUGCCGAAGGAACGGCCCGCGUCCGAUUAGCUUGUUGGUGAGGUAACGGCUCACCAAGGCGACGAUCGGUAGCUGGUCUGAGAGGAUGACCAGCCUCACUGGGACUGAGACACGGCCCAGACUCCUACGGGAGGCAGCAGUGGGGAAUAUUGGGCAAUGGGCGCAAGCUUGAUCCAGCCAUGCCGCGUGGGUGAUGAAGGCCCUAGGGUUGUAAAGCCCUUUCAGCGGGGAAGAUAAUGACGGUACCCGCAGAAGAAGCCCCGGCUAACUUCGUGCCAGCCGCCGCAGUAAUAC
rnacentral:rRNA from 1 species